UACGAAGGUGGCAAGCGUUGUUCGGAUUUACUGGGCGUAAAGAGUGCGUAGGCGGUUUGACAAGUCAGGAGUGAAAUCCCGGGGCUCAACCCCGGAAUUGCUUUUGAAACUGUUUUACUUGAAUCCGGUAGAGGUUGGCGGAAUUCUCAGUGUAGAGGUGAAAUUCGCAGAUAUUGAGAGGAACACCAGUGGCGUAAGCGGCCAACUGGACCGGUAUUGACGCUGAGGCACGAAAGUAUGGGUAGCAAACAGG
rnacentral:rRNA from 1 species